UUAUGGCCAUAACAUGUUGAAAUACCGGUUCUCGUUCGAUCACCGAAGUUAAGCAAUGUCGAGCCUGAUCGGUCCCUAGAUGAGUGACCGCUUGGGAAUACGAAGUACUGUAAG